rnacentral:rRNA from 1 species
GACUAGAGUUUGAUCCUGGCUCAGAACGAACGUUAGCGGCGCGCCUAAUACAUGCAAGUCGUGCGAAGAAAGGGCUUCGGCCCCAGUAAAGCGGCGCACGGGUGAGUAACACGUAGGUGAUCUCCCCCGAGUGGUGGAUAACCCUCCGAAAGGAGGCUAAUACAGCAUGAGACCACGGUUCUACGGAACUGCGGUCAAAGCAGGCCUCUUCAUGAAAGCUUGCGCUCAGGGAUGAGCCUGCGGCCCAUCAGCUAGUUGGUAAGGUAACGGCUUACCAAGGCUAAGACGGGUAGCUGGUCUGAGAGGAUGAGCAGCCACACUGGAACUGAAACACGGUCCAGACUCCUACGGGAGGCAGCAGUAGGGAAUCUUGCGCAAUGACGAAAGUCUGACGCAGCGACGCCGCGUGAGCGAUGAAGGCCUUCGGGUUGUAAAGCUCUGUGGGGAGAGACGAAUAAGGCAUGGCUAACAUCCAUGUCGAUGACGGUAUCUCCUUAGCAAGCACCGGCUAACUCUGUGCCAGCAGCCGCGGUAA